CCUGGGCUUAGCUGCAGUUUACCCAGAGGCAGGGCUUGUCUCCAGAGGACCUGGAGAGUGUUGGACUUCGGAGAUCUGCUCGCAGAACCCAGGGCAGGGCAGCCCCCUCUAGUCCGCGGUGCCGCCAACGCCACUCUCGUGGCACGCCCUCUGGGAGAUGGAGAGGUGAUGGGCUUUCCCCAGGCCCACUUAUUUCUGCUCUACCCCCUGGAGAAGGGCAAGGAGGGAGAAUGAAGCAGAGAGAAGCCUGGGGCAGAAAUUCCAGCCUCCAGCCUCCGCCCAAGUGGCCUCCCUGCGCUCUUUGUGGAAGAACACGGUCUGCACAACAACAUCCGCUAAGGUGGCCAGCUACCGUGACCCGUCUUUGACGUUCCUCCUUCUUGGCCCCUUCUCAGUUGUUCUGUCUCUUCCUUUUCAAGCCAUCCCUAAAAUGUGGGGUGCUCCCAGUGGCACUCUGGCACCAGCCUGUACUGGCUUGUGAGAUUGGUAAGUUUCUAGCGUUUUGCAAGCCAGUUGUUAAACACAGCCAUCAUUGGAGUUCCCGUCGUGGCACAGUGGACAUCAAUCUGACUAGGAACCAUGGGGUUGCCAGGUUUGAUCCCUGGCCUCGCUCAGUGGGUUAAGGGUCCGGCGUUGCCGUGAGCUGUGGUGCAGGUCGAAGAUGCGGCUUGGAUCUGGCGUUGCUGUAGCUGUGGUGUAGGCCAGCGGCGGCGGCGGCAACAGCUCCGAUUAGAUCCCUAGCCUGGGAACCUCCAUAUGCCACGGGUGCGGCCCUAAAAAGACAAAAGACAAACCAAACCAAACCAGCAAACAAAAACAGCCAUCAUUAAAAAUGAACUUACAUAAACUUAUGAUUAAAUGACUUUUACUAAAAACAAUGGUAAUAUAGACUCAAAAUGUGUCACUUCCUAUUUACUGUUACCUGUGCUCUUGAGGUACUUUCCACCUGCUCCAUCUAUAUGGAGGUGACAUUGUAUGACAGGAUACACUGCACAUCUCUUCACGUCUGUGGUUAGUGAUAUCCUGGCAGCAGCUUGAAAUCAGCCAUGGUGAGAGCAUUUACGCCACAGAAAUUGGCAAAUGGUGCUGAUAGAGGUUGAUUUAGGUUUUCUGUAGUUUCUAGAGUCUCUAAACUUUCGAAAGUGAUGUGGAAAAUAUGAAUAGUGCAGAUUAAACUUAAAAGUGUGCCUUGGUGGAGGACCCAUUGCGGCGCAUCGGAAACGAACUCAACCGCUAAGUAUCCAGGAGGAUGCAGUUUCCACCCCUGGUUUCACUCAGUGGUUUUAGGAUCCGGUGUUGCCGUGAGCUGUGGUGUAGGUGGCAGAUGUGGCUUGGGUCCUGAGUUGCUGCAGCUGUGGCCAGCAGCUG
ensembl:lncRNA